GAGGGUAUAGUUCAAGUGGUAGAGCACAUGCUUAGCAUGCACAAGGUCCUGGGUUCAAUUCCCAGUACCUCCU
rnacentral:tRNA from 1 species